CGAAAGGGGCAGUCUUUGCCAGUAGAUCAGAGCUCUACCACACGCCUGGGGAGAAGGAAGGUCUGCAGAGAAGAGUAGGAGGCCCAAAGCCCACUCUUGAGUUCCCAGUGGAUUCUGAGAGAAGAGAGGAAGAAGAGGAGACAGACAGUCUGAAGGAAAGGUCGCAUCUUCCGUGAUUGUGACCUUUGACCAGAGUGAGGAGGAAACAUCUGGGACAGAAAAGCAGAGCCACUGCCUUUGUCACUAGAGGUGGGAUGAGUCACUGUGCAUGAAGCUGUGCCCCACAGUUCUGCUAGGGUCAGAGGUGGGCUGAGGGGUUGUGACACAGAACACACGAAUCAUCUGAUCUAAGGCCCAGCAUGGAGAGGGACAAGUAGACCCUGGAGGUUUGGUCAGGGACUGAUGGGAGGACAUGAUGAGGUCUCAGAGGGAAUACUGGUGAAGGAACAUUGGUUAAUGUUGUUGGGGAAGUCAGGGAGCACUGCAGAGCUCUGAAGGAGCACGGAGCACCCAGUCCAUGAGGUACACAAGCCGCAGGCUUCCGCAGCCGAGCACUGAGGAAUAGGGCCAAUCAUCCCUCAGCGUUCUGCUUUCAAGGGAUAAUCUGGAGCAGACUUUCUGCAGGGAGGCCUAGCGGAGACCCAGAGGCACCACCUCACGUGCCACCACAGGAAAAACUUGGGAAGUCUCUAAGGAGACCAGAGAGACCAUUUGAAUUAUUGCCUCAGACUCCAUUUUUUUUCCCUCUGCUCUCCGGGAAGAGAGACUCUGCAAAAGAAAAUCUAAUGAGUUAUAGAAAUUAGAGAAGACUCAGCGAGGUCUGCCACUGGGACCCAAAUAUAUCUGGACAUGUCUGGCACACUAGCAUGGUGGGCUGGCUGGAAAUCUAUUUGCUUGGAAGGUGAAAAAAGUCCUCCUGGGAGAUUAUUUUCAUUCUAAGGAAAGAAGAAACCAUGUUUGGUUUGGUCUAGUAACAAAGUUUUAGUGCCAGAAGGAAGAUGGAAUUGUCAUUCGACUCUGCCCCCAACUUGGCCCUCUGGACACACCAGGGAUCCUAGGAAGAUAGAAACUCUAUGUUACAACUCCAAGAACUAUUUCAUAAACUGCAGGGAGACUCUGGGGCCCAAGCAGCUAUGUGUUGGGGACCCUCCUGCUAAGCAACACUUGAGAGACCUACACUUCACUCCGCUUCUCCAUUUCAAGGGCUUGGUAUGUUGACAUUACCCAGAAAGUAGUAGAUGAAUUGCCACAACAGUCACAAUUACUCCCCUCCCGGCAAACACUUCACAAUUCCUCCCACAAAAAGGGGGAACCUACUUCCCCACCUUGAAUCUGGGUUGAUACUGUUGCUUUGGCCAACAGAAUGUAGCAGAAGUCACACUGUACCUUUUCAGACCCUGACCUCAAGAAGCCUUGCAUUCUUCUAUCUUCUCCACUGCCACGUGAGUAAGCCUGAGUUAGCCUGCUGGAAGGUGAGAGAUCUCUUGACCCAGAGCCAAGGCAACCCAGCUGUCCCAACUGAGGCUCCCCAGACAUGUGAAAGACCCAACCAAGAUCCGAAAGCCCUCUACCCAAUCCCGAGUUGACCGCUGAUGCAGGAAGAAAUCCAGCUGAAUCUAGCCCAGAUAGCCAACCAGUACAACCCCGAGCUAAAUAGACGGUUGCAUCUUAAGUCACUCAGGUCUGGGUUGUUCCCUAUACAGCAGUGACUGUUAAAGAACUUGACAGGAUAAAAAAUGGUAACUCUGGCCACUGAUGGAUGUGUUAAGUAACCUUAUUGGUGUAAUUGUUUUGCAAUAUACACAUAUAUCAAAUCA